ensembl:lncRNA
GUAAUCUAAUAAUGUAGUCCAAGUUCAAAUGUUAAAAAACAAGUACUUUUUAAGACAUCUUGCCAUACCAAAAGUGGACAUUUCUGUAGAGAAUGACCAGUAGCUGAUAAAGCAACAAUCACCGUCUUUUUUUUAUUUUAUUUUUUUUAUGAAGGGCUUCGAUGAAAUGUCUGUGAAAAUGAAAUGGUUACAAAAGAGUUUUGAAAAAAUACUGAAAUGAAUGUUUGUGCAAGUAGCUAAUAUGUUUUAUUGCCAUCAAAACUUAAUUAUUCAUCAAAAGAAUUAGGCAGAGUUUUAUGUUUUUAAAAUGUUAAUUAAAUGUGUUUUGACAUUUUCAUCGCUUUAAAUGCAUAUCAGUACUACUUUUUCACUUUUAUAACCAUUUGUUAAAAAAAAAAAAACCUUGCGCAAUAAUGUAAUGCAGUAAUGAUAAUAAUUAAAAUAAUACACUUCUUUUUUCCAGCACUAAAUCAUGAAUAAUAUCACAGCGUCAUGUGGAGAGAUUCAGUCUGCUGUGGGGUUUGUGUAUGUGAUUCUGCCUGUUGUACUGAAUAAAACCAACAAUCCUGACUGUGAGCAGAGCUGGUAUUCACAGGAUGGGCGUGUGAUAGCAGAUCCAUCAGAUCCUCAAACACUGAUUGAUCCUGUUAUGUCUGUCUCAUCUGAUCGUCUCGUCACUUCUUACUGUGUGGAUGAACUUGGUCAUGAGAUCAUCUGUGAUACUUCAGGAUUCAGAAUGGAGACCAUGUUCAGAGUGAGGAAUGAGACGGACCCCAUCAGCGGAUCCACACAAACUCCAAACUCAUAUCGGUUGUGGUGGCUUUUUGCUUUGUCGUCAUUGUUCUUAUCAUCAUCAUGAUCUGUUUCAUGCUGUGGUACAGGUGCUGUAAGAAAGAAUCACAUCUCCCGUGCAGCCACCGAUGAGGAAAUUCUGAAACAUGACACAAUGUGGUUUUAACUUGGCAGCAGAUCGGGGAAGCUCCGUCCAACUGUCAUCACUCAGGAGUAAAAAACUCAAAUGUUUUUUAUGAAAUAAAAUUAUUUUCUUGGUGAAA